UACGUAGGGUGCAAGCGUUGUCCGGAAUUAUUGGGCGUAAAGAGCUUGUAGGCGGUUUGUCGCGUCUGCUGUGAAAUUUCGGGGCUCAACCCCGAACUUGCAGUGGGUACGGGCAGACUAGAGUGUGGUAGGGGAGACUGGAAUUCCUGGUGUAGCGGUGAAAUGCGCAGAUAUCAGGAGGAACACCAACGGCGAAGGCAGCUCUCUGGUACAUGACUGACGCUGAGACGCGAAAGCGUGGGUAGCAAACAGG
rnacentral:rRNA from 1 species